rnacentral:rRNA from 1 species
GACGAAUGCUGGCUGCGUGCUUAACACAUGCAAGUCGAACGGUGAAGGAGAGCUUGCUCUCCGGAUCAGUGGCGAACGGGUGAGUAACACGUGGGCAACCUGCCCCUCACUCUGGGAUAACGCCGGGAAGCCGGCGCUAAUACCGGAUACGACCAGGCGCGACAUCUCGCCUGGUGGAAAGAAUUUCGGUGAGGGAUGGGGCCUGCGGCCUAUCGGCUUGUUGGUGGGGUAACGGCCCACCAAGGCGACGACGGGGAGCCGGCCUGAGAGGGGGACCGGCCACACUGGGACGGAGACACGGCCCAUACUCCUACGGGAGGCAGCAGUGGGGAAUAUUGCGCAAUGGGCGAAAGCCUGACGCAGCGACGCAGCGUGAGGGACGACGGCCUUCGGGUUGUAAACCUCUUUCAGCGGGGACGAAGCGAAAGUGACGGUACCCGCAGAAGAAGCACCGGCUAACUACGUGCCAGCAGCCGCCGUAAAAC